rnacentral:rRNA from 1 species
AUUCCAGCUCCAAUAGCGAAUACUAAUUCUGCUGCAGUUAAAAAGCUCGUAGUUGAACUUGUGGCAGGACAGAUCCGGCCGUUGGGCGAAUGCCCUUUGAUGCUGUGUGUCUCGUCUGGCCAUCCUCGGCAAUUUUUUAAAAAGGUUGUCGUCUUUCACUGUAAAAAAAUUAGGGUGUUUCAAGCAAAGUUUAUGUUGGAAUAUAUUAGUAUGGGAUGAUAAGAUAGGCUCUGGAUGCUAUUUUGUUGGUUUGCACAUUUAGAGAAUGAUUAACAGGGACAGUUGGGGGUAUUCAUAUUUACAUGUCAGAGGUGAAAUUCUUGGAUUUUGGAAAGAUGAACUACUGCGAAGGCAUUUACCAAGGAUGUUUUCAUUA